AAGCUAGCCAAUGAGGCUGCUUACCUGAAUGAGUUUCUGCACAAAUGUAGAGAAAAAUGGCAUUAGCAGAGCCAUGUUCUGAGCCUUAAAGACACUGAAGUCAUUAAGGUUCCUGAAAAUGGCUAUAAGA